rnacentral:rRNA from 1 species
UACGUAGGGCGCGAGCGUUGUCCGGAAUUAUUGGGCGUAAAGAGCUCGUAGGCGGUGUGUCGCGUCGGCCGUGAAAACUUGGGGCUUAACCCUGAGCUUGCGGUCGAUACGGGCAUCACUGGAGUUCGGCAGGGGAGACUGGAAUUCCUGGUGUAGCGGUGAAAUGCGCAGAUAUCAGGAGGAACACCGGUGGCGAAGGCGGGUCUCUGGGCAGUGGCUGACGCUGAAGCGCGACAGCGUGGGGAGCAAACAGG